GAGUUAAUGAUGAGAAACAUAAAUAUCUUAGCGGAUUUCAGUAAGAUUUUUAAUCAAUGAUCUGAUUGUUACACACACUGAAGCUCUUAAUUUUUUUUUAUAUGAAAUGGGAUGUAAAUAAUAAUAAUAGCAGUGAUGAGGUAAAACACAUGAGGAUGUGUUAAGGGAAGUGGACAAGACGAUUAAAACCGUUUUGCCGUGAUCCCCAUUUUAAACGACUUCUCCUUCCACUGAGCUUU
rnacentral:lncRNA from 1 species